rnacentral:lncRNA from 1 species
UGCAAAGGCAGGGGGAUGUCUGGGUUCAAGCACAGCCUGGGGCAUGCACAGUGAGCUCCAGGACAGACAGACAGACAGACAGGCCUGUGUCACCAGGCCUCCCAGGAAGGACUGAGGAGGGAACAGUGGGCUCAGGGCUGGGGCUGCUCUGUCCCCUGAGCCUGCUGUGGCUCCCAGGCCCUUCUCUGUCUCUCUCCAGGCCCAGCCGGCCUCCCUCCACCAGGUCAGACGAGCUUUUGCUGGCUGUGUGUGUCUGUGUCUGUGCAGAGGCUGAAGCUACAUAAUGCUUGCGUCCUCACUGACAGCUCUGAUACAGGACUUACACACUGGGGAACAACCCCACCCCUGUGACUGCAAUCACAGCCUCCUGCCCCCCCCCCAAGGAAACACACACACAUGGACAUAUGUACACAAGGACACACAGACACAGGAGACUGCCACCAAUAUAUGCAUCUUUUAUUGCCAUCUUUCCUUCCUGUUCACUUCCGAUCUGUCACACUCCCAAAAGAUAUGCCUCUAUGUGGCCUUCCAAGUAAAUGACUUGCCCUGAAGUCCUUGUGUUGGGGCAACUUUGACUUCUGGGGAACCUGAAGCUAUGAGAAGUAGCCAUAAUAGAUUGUUGAAUCAAGCUGAGAUCUCUAGCAAUAGGUUAAUAAAAGUGAAGCUGAACAGGAAGCAGCCUGCACUCUAUGUUUGGUCUGAUUAAGACCAAAUUUACUAAGACCAAGUUUACUAAUAAACUUCUCUUGUUG